rfam:Mitsuokella sp. oral taxon 131 str. W9106 genomic scaffold Scaffold47, whole genome shotgun sequence.
UUCAGUGACGAUGGCUAUGUGGGCCCACCUGUUCCCAUACCGAACACAGCAGUUAAGCACAUACACGCCGAAAGUACUUGGCCGGGGACGGCCCGGGAGGAUAGGGAGUCGCUGAUU